AUUUUGGACAAUGGGCGCAAGCCUGAUCCAGCAAUGCCGCGUGCAGGAUGAAGGCCUUCGGGUUGUAAACUGCUUUUGUACGGAACGAAAAGGCUCUGGUUAAUACCUGGGGCUCAUGACGGUACCGUAAGAAUAAGCACCGGCUAACUACGUGCCAGCAGCCGCGGUAAUACGUAGGGUGCGAGCGUUAAUCGGAAUUACUGGGCGUAAAGCGUGCGCAGGCGGUAAUGCAAGACAGAUGUGAAAUCCCCGGGCUUAACCUGGGAACUGCAUUUGUGACUGCAUUGCUGGAGUGCGGCAGAGGGGGAUGGAAUUCCGCGUGUAGCAGUGAAAUGCGUAGAUAUGCGGAGGAACACCGAUGGCGAAGGCAAUCCCCUGGGCCUGCACUGACGCUCAUGCACGAAAGCGUGGGGAGCAAACAG
rnacentral:rRNA from 1 species